rnacentral:lncRNA from 1 species
UCACCACCAACACCACCACUCCCUCCAUUGACGCAACAAACAAGCAGAGCAAGUAGCAGCAACUCCAAGAAUCGCCGAGGAGACGGCAUUGUCGCGCCGCAAAAGCACGCUGCCGAAGCAGCAGCUACUCCCCUUCUCGCUCUGCGUCAGCGACGCGCACACACGCAGAUCUCGCAAGGAAGAGAGAGAAAGAAGAGAGGGAGGAGGAGGAGGAAGCAGAGGUGUGGACGGCGUCGUGGUGGUGGUGGAUACAGCUUAGCUUACAUGGAGGUC